rfam:Thalassomonas actiniarum strain A5K-106 contig_56, whole genome shotgun sequence.
UGCCCGGGCUGAAUUAGUGAUCGGCAGGGUAUAUUUUAACUUUAUAAAACUUGGAGUUUUAUUAUGUCGCUAAAUGCAGAGCAAAAAGCAGCUAUCGUUGCUGAAUACGCACAAAAAGAA